rnacentral:rRNA from 1 species
GACGAACGCUGGCGGCGUGCUUAACACAUGCAAGUCGAACGGAAAGGCCCUGCUUUUGUGGGGUGCUCGAGUGGCGAACGGGUGAGUAACACGUGAGUAACCUGCCCUUGACUUUGGGAUAACUUCAGGAAACUGGGGCUAAUACCGGAUAGGAGCUCCUGCUGCAUGGUGGGGGUUGGAAAGUUUCGGCGGUUGGGGAUGGACUCGCGGCUUAUCAGCUUGUUGGUGGGGUAGUGGCUUACCAAGGCUUUGACGGGUAGCCGGCCUGAGAGGGUGACCGGCCACAUUGGGACUGAGAUACGGCCCAGACUCCCACGGGAGGCAGCAGUGGGGAAUAUUGCACAAUGGGCGGAAGCCUGAUGCAGCAACGCCGCGUGCGGGAUGACGGCCUUCGGGUUGUAAACCGCUUUCGCCUGCGACGAAGCGUGAGUGACGGUAAUGGGUAAAGAAGCACCGGCUAACUACGUG